UUAAACCCCACAGCCAGAGGCCGAUGGAAGGACCAGGUUAGCGGCAGGGCCCCGCCCCACGGGAGGGGAGGCAGCUCUGCCUGCGCAGUGAGGCUGCCGGCGACAGAGUGAAAAUGACAAGCAGGCCCGGAGUGCACAGGCAGGCAGGUGUGAGCGUGGAGAUGCCACACGUGUGAAUGAAAACAGCACGUGGGAAGACACGUGUGAGCGACACAGGCACCUUAACAUGGAAGAGGCAGCAGAGAGCAGCACAGAACCCUCGCGCCUAGCAGCGGAGACCCUGUCCUGACCCUAGCAUCACCACUGACUCACGGGCCACCUGCAAGGCCCUCCCCUUCUGUUUCACAAUCUGUAAAGGAGUCUGU
rnacentral:lncRNA from 1 species